rnacentral:rRNA from 1 species
AACGAACGCUGGCGGCAUGCUUAACACAUGCAAGUUGAACGCAGAAUAGGGCUUCGGCUCUAUUGCUGAGUAGCAAACGGGCGAGUAACGCGUGGGAAUCUACCUUCUUGUGGGGGAUAACUAAGGGAAACUUUAGCUAAUACCGCAUACGCUCUACGGAGGAAAGGCUUCGGCCGCAAGAAGAGGAGCCCGCGUCAGAUUAGGUAGUUGGUGGGGUACAAGCCUACCAAGCCAAUGAUCUGUAGCUGGUCUGAGAGGAUGGUCAGCCACACUGGGACUGAGACACGGCCCAUGCUCCUACGUGAGGCAGCAGUGGGGAAUAUUGGACCAUGGGGGAAACCCUGAUCCAGCAAUGCCGCGUGAAUGAAGAAGGCCUUGGGUUGUAAAGUUCUUUCACCUGUGAAGAUAAUGACGGUAGCAGGAGAAGAAGCCCCGGCUAACUCCGUGCCAGCCGCCGCGGUAA